GCGGCCUUAGCUCAGUUGGUUAGAGCACUAGAUUGUGAUUCUAGGGGUCGCGGGUUCGAAUCCCGUAGGCCGCCCCA
rnacentral:tRNA from 3 species